AGGAGGGCUGCAGGGCUGCUGCUGCGAGCGGCGGGACGUGCCGCUGCGACACUGUCACGGUCGCUGCCGUCGGUGCGAGCCGCCGGUCCGGUGGGGCGGCGCGAACAGGUGAACUCGGUGCCCGGGCCGCUGGGCUGAACCGCCUGCCGCCGCCGGCCGUCCACGGCCGGCUCGUGCCACCUGUCGACCUGCGACCUCUGACGUCAUGGAAAAGACUGCCCAGCGGCAGCGGACGACCUGCGCCACACGCCAUGCGCCGUUGGGGCCUCCAGCUACGUCAAGCAUGAGCCGAGUCGGGGCAAAGGGCCCGAGCCAACCCGACCGAAACCGAGCGCGCGCUGUCUCGGGCCAGGCAGCCGCUGGCCGCCGGCUGGCUGAACGCGGGUCGACAGACGUCGGACAUUCGCAGACCAUGUCCCAACGGAACAGUCAGGCAGCGGGGGCACAGGGCAGGACCAAGACAUCGGUGACCAGCUCCCAGGCCGCCCCGCUGAUCACCAGGCAAAAAUCGGCGCCUGACCUGAGCGGAC